UACGGGGGGGGCAAGCGUUGUUCGGAAUUACUGGGCGUAAAGGGCUCGUAGGCGGCCAACUAAGUCAGACGUGAAAUCCCUCGGCUUAACCGGGGAACUGCAUCUGAUACUGGAUGGCUUGAGUUUGGGAGAGGGAUGCGGAAUUCCAGGUGUAGCGGUGAAAUGCGUAGAUAUCUGGAGGAACACCGGUGGCGAAGGCGGCAUCCUGGACCAACACUGACGCUGAGGAGCGAAAGCCAGGGGAGCAAACGGG
rnacentral:rRNA from 1 species